GUAAAAGUUCCACUCGCUUUCUUCCAUCACAUUUUGCACAAUGUUACAUUUUCAUGGAAACUUACUGUGAAUAAGGUGCUGACAAUUGUACUGCUUAAUGCAUGACUCUUUCCAUAUCUUUAAUUUUCUCUAUAGAAAUUAUCACAAGCUGCCCUGCAGUAGGUUUAAGAUAAAUAUGUACUCAAAGCAGGUGGCUCAAUCCACUUAUCAGCAUUUGGCAUACCAGGGUUCAAUGGGUAAUCACAAAGAAGAACGGGGCAGAGCUAGAGAACAGAGAGAACGCUUUUUGUGACUCAAGUGUGCAGAAGGUAAUCAACUCUUCCUAAGGAUCAGAUCUGGGGAAGGAGAGCUGCUACAGCUACAGUUUCUCCUUGGUGAUGAGACUUGAAGUCACGGCCAGCUUGGCAACCUGGAACUGGUCUGCAUGUGCCAUUGCCCAGUGCCCCCUGAGAUUGUGAUGCAGCUGAGCACACACUUGCCUGGACCAGCAUCCUGAGCAACUCCAGCCUUCCUAGGCAUAGAUCAUGGUUCAGUGGGGCCCUCUCUC
rnacentral:lncRNA from 1 species